rnacentral:rRNA from 1 species
AGCGAACGCUGGCGGCAGGCCUAACACAUGCAAGUCGAACGGAUCCUUCGGGAUUAGUGGCGGACGGGUGAGUAACACGUGGGAACGUGCCCUUUGGUUCGGAACAACUCAGGGAAACUUGAGCUAAUACCGGAUGUACCCUUCGGGGGAAAGAUUUAUCGCCAUUGGAGCGGCCCGCGUCUGAUUAGCUAGUUGGUGAGGUAACGGCCCACCAAGGCGACGAUCAGUAGCUGGUCUGAGAGGAUGAUCAGCCACACUGGGACUGAGACACGGCCCAGACUCCUACGGGAGGCAGCAGUGGGGAAUCUUGCGCAAUGGGCGAAAGCCUGACGCAGCCAUGCCGCGUGAAUGAUGAAGGUCUUAGGAUUGUAAAAUUCUUUCAGCGGGGACGAUAAUGACGGUACCCGCAGAAGAAGCGCCGGCUAACUUCGUG